GGGCGAUUAGCUCAGAGGGAGAGCACUUCCUUGACAUGGAAGGGGUCGCUGGUUCGAAUCCAGCAUCGCCCA
rnacentral:tRNA from 1 species